UACGUAGGGGCCGAGCGUUGUCCGGAGUUAUUGGGCGUAAAGCGCGCGCAGGCGGCCUCGCGCGCCCGACGUGAAAGCCCCCGGCUUAACCGGGGAGGGUCGUUGGGGACGGCGGGGCUUGAGGGCGGGAGAGGGCGGUGGAAUUCCCGGUGUAGUGGUGAAAUGCGUAGAGAUCGGGAGGAACACCUGUGGCGAAGGCGGCCGUCUGGGCCGACCCUGACGCUGAGGCGCGAAGGCGUGGGGAGCAAACCGG
rnacentral:rRNA from 1 species